rnacentral:rRNA from 1 species
UACAGAGGUCUCAAGCGUUGUUCGGAUUCAUUGGGCGUAAAGGGUGCGUAGGCGGCGCGGUAAGUCGGGUGUGAAAUUCGCGGAGCUUAACUCCGAAACUGCAUUCGAUACUGCCGUGCUUGAGGACUGGAGAGGAGACUGGAAUUUACGGUGUAGCGGUGAAAUGCGUAGAUAUCGUAAGGAAGACCAGUGGCGAAGGCGGGUCUCUGGACAGUUCCUGACGCUGAGGCAACGAAGGCCAGGGGAGCAAACGGG